CGUGAUCAUGGCACUUUUAACAGCGUCGAAAUAUCAGGAGUCUCAUAUCCCUGCUUCAAACGCGCAUCCAUAUUAGGAGAAACAACUUGUCAAUAUCCAUUGCUGAAGGAUUUCCCUAACAAAUAUGGAGUCGACGUGCCUUAUCUUCUGAAGCCGCCCAAAGGUUUCAUUGAGGAAAACACCCAAAGGCCCUGCAAAUGCCCACGGCUGUAUUGGCCUGUCUGUGGGAAGGAUGGACGAUUGUACGUCAACUACUGCGUGAGAAAAUGCGUGGGAGUGCCGGGACCUAAUGCGUUGUCUGUAAAAUGUCUGGAAAACUCUGCUAUUUUGGCCGUCGUACCAGCAUCUUGGGUAUAUCCGGAAGAGAAUAAAAACGCCAC